UGGACAAUGGGGGGAACCCUGAUCCAGCCAUGCCGCGUGUGUGAAGAAGGCCUUUUGGUUGUAAAGCACUUUAAGCGAGGAGGAGGCUAAUCUAGUUAAUACCUAGGGAUAGUGGACGUUACUCGCAGAAUAAGCACCGGCUAACUCUGUGCCAGCAGCCGCGGUAAUACAGAGGGUGCGAGCGUUAAUCGGAUUUACUGGGCGUAAAGCGUGCGUAGGCGGCUUUUUAAGUCGGAUGUGAAAUCCCCGAGCUUAACUUGGGAAUUGCAUUCGAUACUGGGAAGCUAGAGUAUGGGAGAGGAUGGUAGAAUUCCAGGUGUAGCGGUGAAAUGCGUAGAGAUCUGGAGGAAUACCGAUGGCGAAGGCAGCCAUCUGGCCUAAUACUGACGCUGAGGUACGAAAGCAUGGGGAGCAAACAGGAUUAGAUACCCUGGUAGUCCAUGCCGUAAACGAUGUCUACUAGCCGUUGGGGCCUUUGAGGCUUUAGUGGCGCAGCUAACGCGAUAUGUAGACCGCCUGGGGAGU
rnacentral:rRNA from 1 species